CCUACGGGAGGCAGCAGUGAGGAAUAUUGGUCAAUGGACGCAAGUCUGAACCAGCCAUGCCGCGUGCAGGAAGACGGCUCUAUGAGUUGUAAACUGCUUUUGUACGAGGGUAAACGCAGAUACGCGUAUCUGUCUGAAAGUAUCUUACGAAUAAGCAUCGGCUAACUCCGUGCCAGCAGCCGCGGUAAUACGGAGGAUUCAAGCGUUAUCCGGAUUUAUUGGGUUUAAAGGGUGCGUAGGCGGUCGGAUAAGUUAGAGGUGAAAUCGCGAGGCUCAACUUCGGAAUUGCCUUUGAUACUGUUAGGCUAGAGAGUAGUUGAGGUAGGCGGAAUGUAUGGUGUAGCGGUGAAAUGCUUAGAGAUCAUACAGAACACCGAUUGCGAAGGCAGCUUACCAAGCUACUUCUGACGUUGAGGCACGAAAGCGUGGGGAGCAAACAGGAUUAGAUACCCUAGUAGUC
rnacentral:rRNA from 1 species